rnacentral:rRNA from 1 species
UACGGGGGGAGCAAGCGUUGUUCGGAUUUACUGGGCGUAAAGGGCGCGUAGGCGGCCACCGCAAGUCGACUGUGAAAUCUCUGGGCUUGACCCAGAAAGGUCAGCCGAUACUGCGGGGCUAGAGUGCAGAAGGGGCAACUGGAAUUCUCGGUGUAGCGGUGAAAUGCGUAGAUAUCGAGAGGAACACCUGCGGCGAAGGCGGGUUGCUGGGCUGACACUGACGCUGAAGCGCGAAAGCUAGGGGAGCGAACGGG